CCUACGGGAGGCAGCAGUGGGGGAUAUUGCACAAUGGGGGAAACCCUGAUGCAGCGACGCCGCGUGAGUGAAGAAGUAUUUCGGUAUGUAAAGCUCUAUCAGCAGGGAAGAAAAUGACAGUACCUGACCAAGAAGCCCCGGCUAACUACGUGCCAGCAGCCCCGGUAAUAAGUAGGGGGCAAGCGUUAUCCGGAUUUACCGGGUGUAAAGGGAGCGUAGACGGUUAUGUAAGUCUGGAGGGAAAGCCCGGGGCCCCACCCCGGGACUGCGUUGGAAACUGUGUUACUGGAGUGCAGGAGGGGCAGGCGGAAUUCCUGGUGUAGCGGUGAAAUGCGUAGAUAUCAGGAGGAACACCGGCGGCGAAGGCGGCCUGCUGGACUGAAACUGACGUUGAGGCUCGAAAGCGUGGGGAGCAAACAGGAUUAGAUACCCCUGUAGUC
rnacentral:rRNA from 1 species